rnacentral:rRNA from 1 species
AGUGAACGCUGGCGGUGCGCCUAAGACAUGCAAGUCGAGUGGGUCUAGACCCACGGCGAACGGCUGCGUAACACAUGGGUACCUACCCCGAACUCAGGAAUAACCUCCCGAAAGGGAGGCUAAUGCCGGAUAGUCCCGCAAGGGUAAAGCUUUUGCGGUUCGGGAGGGGCCUAUGGCCUAUCAGUUAGUUGGUGAGGUAACGGCUCACCAAGACAAUGACGGGUAGCUGGUCUGAGAGGACGACCAGCCAGAAUGGAACUGAGACACGGUCCAUACUCCUACGGGAGGCAGCAGUUAGGAAUCUUCCACAAUGGGCGAAAGCCUGAUGGAGCGACACCGCGUGAAGGAUGAAGCCUUUAACUAGGUGUAAACUUCUGUUAUGAGGGACGAAAUUUUUGACGGUACCUCAUGAGAAGCACCGGCUAAUUCCGUGCCAGCAGCCGCGGUAAU